rnacentral:rRNA from 1 species
GGCCAGACUCCUACGGGAGGCAGCAGUGGGGAAUAUUGCACAAUGGGGGGAACCCUGAUGCAGCGACGCCGCGUGGGUGAAGAAGCGCCUCGGCGCGUAAAGCCCUGUCAGCAGGGAAGAAAAUGACGGUACCUGAAGAAGAAGCCCCGGCUAACUACGUGCCAGCAGCCGCGGUAAUACGUAGGGGGCAAGCGUUAUCCGGAUUUACUGGGUGUAAAGGGGGCGCAGACGGCGAUGCAAGCCAGGAGUGAAAGCCCGGGGCCCAACCCCGGGACUGCUCUUGGAACUGCGUGGCUGGAGUGCAGGAGGGGCAGGCGGAAUUCCUGGUGUAGCGGUGAAAUGCGUAGAUAUCAGGAGGAACACCGGUGGCGAAGGCGGCCUGCUGGACUGCAACUGACGUUGAGGCUCGAGAGCGUGGGGAGCAAACAGGAUUAGAUACCCUUGUAGGG